rnacentral:rRNA from 1 species
CUGUCUUAGUGGCGACGGGUGAGUAACGCGUGGGCAACCUGCCCUGUACCGGGGGAUAACACUUAGAAAUAGGUGCUAAUACCGCAUAAUAGGGAAUACCGCAUGGUAAUCCUUUGAAAACUCCGGUGGUACAGGAUGGGCCCGCGUCUGAUUAGCCAGUUGGCGGGGUAACGGCCCACCAAAGCGACGAUCAGCAGCCGGCCUGAGAGGGUGGACGGCCACACUGGGACUGAGACACGGCCCAGACUCCUACGGGAGGCAGCAG